CUGAGCCGAUUGCCUAACUCUGCCGCGGCCCGGGAUCCGAAUGCAACCAUCUGGCAGAGACGGGGAAACCACUUUUGGCCUGGCGUUAUGCCGGCCUUGGGGUGAAGCCGCGCAGUGCCUGUUCUCACGGGCCAGCGGCCGGGUGCCUCCCAUCCGAAUCCGACAGCUCACCUCGCAGGCAUUGGGAGAGGCUAC
rnacentral:sRNA from 2 species